rnacentral:rRNA from 1 species
GAUGAACGCUGGCGGCGUGCUUAACACAUGCAAGUCGAACGGUGAAGCAGAGCUUGCUCUGUGGAUCAGUUGCGAACGGGUGAGUAACACGUGAGCAACCUGCCCCUCACUCUGGGUUAAGCGCUGUAAAGGGCGCCUAAUACUGGAUAUGAGCUGCGACCGCAUGGUCAGCUGUUGGAAAGAUUUUUCGGUUUGGGAUAGGCUCACGUCGUAUCAGCCUGUUGGUGAGGUAACGGCUUACCAAGGCGUCGAUGGGCAGCCGCCCGGAGAGGGGGAUCGGCCACACGGGAACUGAGACACGGUCCAGACGCCUACGGGAGGCAGCAGGAGGGAAUCGUCCGAAAUGGGCGAAAGCCUGACGGAGCAACGCCGCGUGAGUGAUGAAGGUCUUCGGAGAGGAAAACUCUGUUAGUAGGGAAGAACAAAUGGGUAAGGAACUGUGCACAUCUUGACGGUACCUAAUCAGAAAGCCACGGCUAACUACGUG